rnacentral:tRNA from 1 species
UGUCCCACUGGCGUGCGGUGACCGCCGCGUGGUCGCCCAUCGAGAGACCGGUGCGCGGUUCGGCGUUGCGCGGGAUGUCC